GAACAAUUUAAACCUCUUAUCGAUUACCCAUUGGAGGGCAAGUCUGGUGCCAGCAGCCGCGGUAACACCAGCUCCAAUAGCGUAUAUUAAAGUUGUUGCAGUUAAAAAGCUCGUAGUUGGAUUUCUGGUCUGAGAAUGAAAGUGGCUGCUUUAAUUUGUGGUCUUGCCGGAUUUCUUGACCUUCCUUCGUGGAGAACAUUUAGGUCCUUAAUUGGACUCUAUUUGGGAUCCCGAUCUUUUACUUUGAAAAAAUUAGAGUGUUCAAAGCAGGCUUAUGCCUUUGAAUACAUUAGCAUGGAAUAAUAAGAUAGGACUUUGGUUCUAUUUUGUUGGUUUCUAGGACUAAAGUAAUGAUUGAUAGGGAUAGUUGGGGGUGCUAGUAUUCAACGGCCAGAGGUGAAAUUCGGUGAUUCGUUGAAGACUAACUUAUGCGAAAGCAUUCACCAAGGAUGUCUUCUUUAAUCAAGAACGAAAGUUGAGGGAUCGAAGACGAUCAGAUACCGUCGUAGUCUCAACCAUAAACUAUACCGACUCGGGAUUGGAUCACGUUUUUUUUGACUGAUUCAGCACCGUAUGAGAAAUCAAAGUCUUUGGGUUCCGGGGGGAGUCUGGUCGCAAGGCUGAAACUUAAAGGAAUUGACGGAAGGGCACCACCAGGAGUGGAGCCUGCGGCUUAAUUUGACCCAACACGGGAAAACUUACCAGGUCAAGACAUAGUGAGGAUUGACAGAUUGAAGAUCUUUCUUGAUUCUAUGGGUGGUGGUGCAUGGCCGUUCUUAGUUGGUGGAGUGAUUUGUCUGGUCUAUUCCGAAAACGAACGAGACCUCAGCCUACUAAAUAGUUGCAUUAUUUCAUCCGAAAUGGUGAUAACUUCUUAGAGGGACUUUUGACUUUUAGUCAAAGGAAGCUUGAGGCAAUAACAGGUCUGAGAUGCCCUUUGAUGUUCUGGGCUGCACGCGCGCUACACUGACACGUUCAACGAGCUUACAACCUUGGUCGGCAGGCCUGGGUAAUCUUUGAAAUCGUGUCGUGAUGGGGCUAGAUUAUUGCAAUUAUUAAUCUUAAACGAGGAAUUCCUAGUAAGCGCAAGUCAUCAGCUUGCAUUGAUUACGUCCCUGCCCUUUGUACACACCGCCCGUCGCUCCUACCGAUUGAAUGAUCCGGUGAAGUCUUCGGAUUGAGCAUGUGGAGGCUUUUGUCGACCACGCGUCUUGAGAAGUUGAUUAAACCUUAUCAUUUAGA
rnacentral:rRNA from 1 species